rnacentral:ncRNA from 2 species
CUGACAUGUGUGCAAGUCAACGGGUGAGUAAACCCGUAAGGCGCAAGGAAGCUGAUUGGCUGGAUCCCUCGCGGGUGCACAGCCGACCGACCUUGAUUUUCUGAGAAGGGUUCGAUUGUGAGCAUGCCUGUCGGGACCCGAAAGAUGGUGAACUAUGCCUGAGCAGGGCGAAGCCAGAGGAAACUCUGGUGGAGGGCCCGCAGCGAUACUGACGUGCAAAUCGUUCGUCUGACUUGGGUAUAGGGGCGAAAGACUAAUCGAACCAUCUAGUAGCUGG